rnacentral:rRNA from 1 species
GAUGAACGCUGGCGGCGUGCCUAAUACAUGCAAGUCGAGCGAACGGACGAGAAGCUUGCUUCUCUGAUGUUAGCGGCGGACGGGUGAGUAACACGUGGAUAACCUACCUAUAAGACUGGGAUAACUUCGGGAAACCGUAGCUAAUACCGGAUAAUAUUUUGAACCGCAUGGUUCAAAAGUGAAAGACGGUCUUGCUGUCACUUAUAGAUGGAUCCGCGCUGCAUUAGCUAGUUGGUAAGGUAACGGCUUACCAAGGCAACGAUGCAUAGCCGACCUGAGAGGGUGAUCGGCCACACUGGAACUGGGAAACGGUCCAGACUCCUACGGGAGGCAGCAGUAGGGAAUCUUCCGCAAUGGGCGAAAGCCUGACGGAGCAACGCCGCGUGAGUGAUGAAGGUCUUCGGAUCGUAAAACUCUGUUAUUAGGGAAGAACAUAUGUGUAAGUAACUGUGCACAUCUUGACGGUACCUAAUCAGAAAGCCACGGCUAACUACGUG